rnacentral:rRNA from 1 species
AUGAACGCUGGCGGCGUGCCUAAUCCAUGCAAGUCGAGCGAACGGACGAGAAGCUUGCUUCUCUGAUGUUAGCGGCGGACGGGUGAGUAACACGUGGAUAACCUACCUAUAAGACUGGGAUAACUUCGGGAAACCGGAGCUAAUACCGGAUGAUAUUUUGAACCGCAUGGUUCAAAAGUGAAAGACGGUCUUGCUGUCACUUAUAGAUGGAUCCGCGCUGCAUUAGCUAGUUGGUAAGGUAACGGCUUACCAAGGCAACGAUGCAUAGCCGACCUGAGAGGGUGAUCGGCCACACUGGAACUGAGACACGGUCCAGACUCCCACGGGAGGCAGCAGUAGGGAAUCUUCCGCAAUGGGCGAAAGCCUGACGGAGCAACGCCGCGUGAGUGAUGAAGGUCUUCGGAUCGUAAAACUCUGUUAUUAGGGAAGAACAUAUGUGUAAGUAACUGUGCACAUCUUGACGGUACCUAAUCAGAAAGCCACGGCUAACUACGUG